GCAGACAAACAAGAGGUUGUGUGAAAAGUCCAAGAAAGAGGCUAUGCACAAGGACUGUGGGAUCCAGAGAGAUCUCACCGUAACCGUUUGUCUGGAGCUGCAAGACAGACAAACAUGAUAAGUAUCUGUGAUUAAAAGAUUACAACAAGAUAACUGUCUGUCUACUCUCUACUUUGAUGUAAACCAGCAAAUUCACACCCGCAUUAAAUCUCCUAUGAGGAAGACAAAACGAUUGCGUUUAUACAUCAUGUGAACAAUCUAGCCCAUUUUGAACAAAUUGUGCAUACUCUGCAGUGUAUACGUGACCAUUUGUACUCUUUUUAGCAGCAUUAAAAAUAGGCUAAAACUUUAUUAAAAUUGUGAAUUGAUGAAAUAGGCCUACAGAGCCUGAGCAGUAAGCGCUCCCUUUAAUAGUCUAAUCACUAUAGCUGUCAAUCAUUGGCAGCGCAGUUGGCUACAAUGCUCAGUGCUGCAAAUCGCGCUGUAAUUAGAAGCCUUUAACGGUCUUCAGACAGAGCGUGGACACAAGCAGGGACAGUUUGAAAGCAGCUGCCUAUCAGCGUGUACCGAAAGUCGAAAGAGUCUUUCUUGACUAUUGGACACACAACCAGCCCGUGCCUGUCACCCAUUCGACCCGCACCGCACCUGACAACAAAUAUUAGUGGUUCAACCGGCGCUGUAUCCUCUAAUAUUUUAUCUAGAGCUAAAACGCCCUUAUACAAGACAUUCCACUCCUUGUGUCUCUCCAGCUAAAGAUGCAAAGCACUACAACAUGGGCGAUGUAGUUAUUUUAACAACAGUAAGUUAGCAGAGACAGAUGAGCAUCAAAAAAAA